AGCUUCUUCAUCAGCUGUGGGGAGAUCUCUCUCCUCUGCAACUGCAGCAUGAAAGGCCUGGCUUUGCAAACAGACUUCAAAGAUGCCACACUAUUAAAAAUACAUGGACAUCGUGUGGAUCUAAGCUAAAUACAUAUGGCCUUUGAUUGUCUGGCAUUUCCAAUUCAUACAAGAACAUUACUGGGAUGCAUUAUUGAUGAUCAGUAGCAUUUCACCGUCUCAAACCAAGGAUGUUUUUUUUUUUUCUUCUUCUCCCCAUCUCCUUGCUCAGAGAUUGAACUGUUUAAUUAAGCCUUGAUUAACUGUAUUUACAAUUCUAACUGUCACUGAUUUCGUUCUGGAACCUCUCCGGCUGCCAGCUGCACUCCUCGCUGUCAGAGACAGGGCGCCGUUCGUAAGGAAGCUCACCCCCCCAGAAGUCUCAGCUGCCUGCUGUGAUUGCCAGGGCACAUCUGUCCGGCGCGGUUUCUUGGCAUGCACAGAAGUAAAGUUGGAGCUGGUCUCUGGAUUGAAGCACCCGGCCGAUGCUGCUCUGGGGAGAAGGGGACGAGCCACCCAGCAAAUGAAGAGGAGGCUCCCGACUGUGAGAGGAAAGUGAAUCAUUUAUUCAGCUGGUGCAGGCUUGGUACUGCAGUGACAAGGGACAGGCCACUGCUGCGGGAAAGGUCAUGCUGCUGGGAGUCCCAGAUGGCACUGACAGGGUGCCGCUGUGGUCUCUGGAUGUUGUUACAACACGAGUCCCCUUCUCUGGUGUGUCUCAGGAGAAAGACCUCCUCCAGCCCUUCCGCUGUUCUGCUUUACUCUGUGUCCUCCUGUUUGGCUCUCUCCUGGCUGCCCACAUGCCAGCAGCGGAGCAUCAUGUGAACUGUGAGGAGGAUUUCAACCAUUCAAAGAUCUUUAUGUGCUACAACUGUGAAAUUGCACCCACGCAUGU
rnacentral:lncRNA from 1 species